rnacentral:pre_miRNA from 14 species
UCUUCGGAGUCUGGGGUAGUCGCGCAGAUCCCGGACGAGCCCCCAUUUGAAAGAUCCCACGCAGAGAGACCCUUACUCAAGUCUUGGGAAAUCGCGGACCCCAGACACAGAGAGACCA